rnacentral:rRNA from 1 species
GACGAACGCUGGCGGCGUGCUUAACACAUGCGAGUCGAACGGAAAGGCCCUGCUUUUGUGGGGUGCUCGAGUGGCGAACGGGUGAGUAACACGUGAGUAACCUGCCCUUGACUUUGGGAUAACUUCAGGAAACUGGGGCUAAUACCGGAUAGGAGCUCCUGCUGCAUGGUGGGGGUGGGAAAGUUUCGGCGGUUGGGGAUGGACUCGCGGCUUAUCAGCUUGUUGGUGGGGUAGUGGCUUACCAAGGCUUUGACGGGUAGCCGGCCUGAGAGGGUGACCGGCCACAUUGGGACUGAGAUACGGCCCAGACUCCUACGGGAGGCAGCAGUGGGGAAUAUUACACAAUGGGCGGAAGCCUGAUGCAGCAACGCCGCGUGCGGGAUGACGGCCUUCGGGUUGUAAACCGCUUUCGCCUGUGACGAAGCGUGAGUGACGGUAAUGGGUAAAGAAGCACCGGCUAACUACGUG